GACGAACGCUGGCGGCGUGCUUAACACAUGCAAGUCGAACGGAAAGGCCCUGCUUUUGUGGGGUGCUCGAGUGCCGAACGGGUGAGUAACACGUGAGUAACCUGCCCUUGACUUUGGGAUAACUUCAGGAAACUGGGGCUAAUACCGGAUAGGAGCUCCUGCUGCAUGGUGGGGGUUGGAAAGUUUCGGCGGUUGGGGAUGGACUCGCGGCUUAUCAGCUUGUUGGUGGGGUAGUGGCUUACCAAGGCUUUGACGGGUAGCCGGCCUGAGAGGGUGACCGGCCACAUUGGGACUGAGAGACGGCCCAGACUCCUACGGGAGGCAGCAGUGGGGAAUAUUGCACAAUGGGCGGAAGCCUGAUGCAGCAACGCCGCGUGCGGGAUGACGGCCUUCGGGUUGUAAACCGCUUUCGCCUGUGACGAAGCGUGAGUGACGGUAAUGGGUAAAGAAGCACCGGCUAACUACGUG
rnacentral:rRNA from 1 species